UGUGAGCACGUCUCUGAGAAGGAAA
rnacentral:misc_RNA from 1 species